rnacentral:rRNA from 1 species
GACGAACGCUGGCGGCGUGCUUAACACAUGCAAGUCGAACGGAAAGGCCCUGCUUUUGUGGGGUGCUCGAGUGGCGAACGGGUGAGUAACACGUGAGUAACCUGCCCUUGACUUUGGGAUAACUUCAGGAAACUGGGGCUAAUACCGGAUAGGAGCUCCUGCUGCAUGGUGGGGGUUGGAAAGUUUCGGCGGUUGGGGAUGGACUCGCGGCUUAUCAGCUUGUUGUUGGGGUAGUGGCUUACCAAGGCUUUGACGGGUAGCCGGCCUGGGAGGGUGACCGGCAAAAUUGGGACUGGGAUACGGCCAAGACUCCUACGGGAGGAAGAAGUGGGGAAUAUUGCAAAAUGGGCGGAAGCCUGAGGCAGCAACGCCGCGUGCGGGAUGACGGCCUUCGGGUUGUAAACCGCUUUCGCCUGUGACGAAGCGUGAGUGACGGUAAUGGGUAAAGAAGCACCGGCUAACUACGUG